CCCACCUAUAUUCCUCUCAUCCUUCCUCCAUUAAGGUAUGUUACUUACCUCUCCUUUCUUUUUUCUUAUGUAUUAUGUGGUAGUUUAUGUUAGUUUCAUGUUAUAAUGGGUUGUAAUUGUUAGUAGAAUUGUGUUAGUGUUUCUUGUUUUUCUUUUUGAAUUUCAUUUUUGUACAUGAUUGGUGAAGGGGCUGUGUGUUGAAUAUGGUGGUGAGAUGUAUGUUGGUAGGUGUUGAAUGAAGUAGUAUGGGGUGUGAUGAUAUAGUAAUAAAUUUGAUUUGGGAGGAAUUUUGAUGUACUCAUGAGGGUUAUAGGUGUUAGGAUCAUGUCUUGUCUAUAAGGUGAUUGGGAAAUUGCCCUAAUGAAGUUAUAAGGACUAAUGUAAUAUGGUUUUGGUGAAGUCUGAGUAACCAUCCAUAGUCACACAUUUCACACACCCACUAAAAGGUGUUUCUCUAUUUGACAGGUACAAUGAGUUCUUCUAGAAAGAGACGUACCACCGGGCCCUCCAUUAGUGGACCAGGAAGCUCCUUGAGAGGUAAGGGGCAAGCCCAGGCACCACAAUUUGAUACUACGCGGUUUGUCUCCCAAAUGGCAGAGACCAGGUACACUGCAAAGAAACUUCUCC
rnacentral:lncRNA from 1 species